GAUGAACGCUGGCUACAGGCUUAACACAUGCAAGUCGAGGGGAAACGACGGGGAAGCUUGCUUCCCCGGGCGUCGACCGGCGCACGGGUGAGUAACGCGUAUCCAACCUGCCUCUGACUGAGGGAUAACCCGUCGAAAGUCGGCCUAAUACCUCAUGGCAUCGUCUGCGGGCAUCCAACGACGAUUAAAGAUUUCAUCGGUCAGAGAUGGGGAUGCGUCUGAUUAGCUUGUUGGCGGGGUAACGGCCCACCAAGGCCACGAUCAGUAGGGGUUCUGAGAGGAAGGUCCCCCACAUUGGAACUGAGACACGGUCCAAACUCCUACGGGAGGCAGCAGUGAGGAAUAUUGGUCAAUGGGCGAGAGCCUGAACCAGCCAAGUAGCGUGCAGGAUGACGGCCCUAUGGGUUGUAAACUGCUUUUAUGCGGGGAUAAAGUGAGGGACGUGUCCUUCAUUGCAGGUACCGAAUGAAUAAGGACCGGCUAAUUCCGUG
rnacentral:rRNA from 1 species